rnacentral:rRNA from 1 species
AAUAUUGGUCAAUGGAGGCAACUCUGAACCAGCCAAGUCGCGUGAAGGAUGAAGGUCUUAUGGAUUGUAAACUUCUUUUGCAAGGGAAUAAAGUGGGGGACGAGUCCCCCUAUGCACUUUCCUUGCCAAUGAUGAUCGGCUACCUCCGUGCAAGCAGCCGCGGUAAUACGGAGGAUCCGAGCGUUAGCCAGAUUUAGUGGGUUUAAAGGGUGCGCAGGCGGGAUGUUAAGUCGGCGGUGAAAUGUUGCAGCUCAACUGUAAAAGUGCCUUCGAUACUGGCUUUCUUGGAUGUGGAUGAAGUAGGCGGAAUUUGUGGUGUAGCGGUGAAAUGCUUAGAUAUCACGAGGAACUCCGAUUGCGCAGGCAGCUUACUAAACCACUACUGACGCUCACGCACGAAGGCGUGGGGAUCAAACAGG